rnacentral:rRNA from 1 species
GAUGAACGCUGGCGGUAUGCUUAACACAUGCAAGUCGAACGAACUCUUCGGAGUUAGUGGCGGACGGGUGAGUAACGCGUGAGAAUCUGGCUUUGGGUUCGGGACAACCACUGGAAACGGUGGCUAAUACCGGAUGUGCCGAGAGGUAAAAGAGAAAUUGCCUGAAGAUGAGCUCGCGUCUGAUUAGCUAGUUGGUGAGGUAAAGGCUCACCAAGGCAGCGAUCAGUAGCUGGUCUGAGAGGAUGACCAGCCACACUGGGACUGAGACACGGCCCAGACUCCUACGGGAGGCAGCAGUGGGGAAUUGUCCGCAAUGGGCGAAAGCCUGACGGAGCAAUACCGCGUGAGGGAAGAAGGCUCUUGGGUUGUAAACCUCUUUUCUUAGGGAAGAACAAAAUGACGGUACCUAAGGAAUCAGCAUCGGCUAACUCCGUG